GCUUGUCUCAAAGAUUAAGCCAUGCAUGUCUAAGUAUAAGCAUUAUACAGUGAAACUGCGAAUGGCUCAUUAUAUCAGUUAUAGUUUAUUUGAUAGUCACACUACUUGGAUAACCGUAGUAAUUCUAGAGCUAAUACAUGCAUCAAACCCCGACUCACGAAGGGGUGUAUUUAUUAGAUGGAAACCAAUGCGGGGCAACCCGGAUUAUGGUGAUUCAUAAUAACUUUCAGAUCGAUCGCAAGAUCGAUGCAUCAUUCAAGUUUCUGCCCUAUCAGCUUUGGAUGGUAGGGUAUUGGCCUACCAUGGCUUUAACGGGUAACGGAGAAUUAGGGUUCGAUUCCGGAGAGGGAGCCUGAGAAAUGGCUACCACAUCCAAGGAAGGCAGCAGG
rnacentral:rRNA from 1 species